rnacentral:sRNA from 1 species
UUGUGUGAGGGAUAGCAGCGGAAAGCCCACAGAGAGGAGGCACGACGAACGCGGACUUGCAGCGGAUAGCCCGACCCGGA